GGUCAAGCUACUAAGGGCGCAUGGUGGAUGCCUAGGCGCUGGAAGGCGAUGAAGGGCGUAGGAGGCUGCGAUAAGCCUGGGGAAGCUGCCAACCAAGCGUUGAUCCCGGGAUUCCCGAAUGGGGCAACCCGAGCCGGAGGGGCAACCCACCCGGCUCACCGUCGGCUGAAUGCAUAGGCCGUCGGAGCCAACCCGGGGAACUGAAACAUCUAAGUACCCGGAGGAGAGGAAAGCAAACGCGACUCCGUCAGUAGCGGCGAGCGAAAGCGGAUCAGCCCAAACCCGCCUUAGGGCGGGGGUUGCGGGCCCGGACAUACGGAGAACAGAAAGGCCGGCCUAGCCGAAGGAUCUGGAAAGGUCCGCCAUAGCGGGUGAUAGCCCCGUAGGCGAAAGGCGUCGGGCCCUCCGUCCGGUGACCCAGAGUAGCACGGUGCUCGUGGAACUCCGUGUGAAGCAGGGAGGCCCACCUUCCAAGGCUAAGUACUCUCCAGCGACCGAUAGUGAACCAGUAGGGUGACUGAAUGGUGAAAAGAACCCCGUCGAGGGGAGUGAAAAGUACCUGAAACCAUGUGCCUACAAGCGGUCGGAGCCCUAUGCCCCGCCUUCGGGCGGGGAAUGGGUGACGGCGUACCUUUUGCAUAAUGGACCGGCGAGUUGGUCUGUACGGCCAGGUUAAGCCCUUCCGGGGCGUAGCCGUAGCGAAAGCGAGUGUGACAAGCGCGCCCGAGUCGUGCGGACCAGACACGAAACCUCAGUGACCUACCCAUGGGCAGGUUGAAGGUCCGGUAAAACGGGCUGGAGGACCGAACCCACUAACGUUGAAAAGUUAGGGGAUGACCUGUGGGGAGGAGUGAAAGUCUAAUCAAACUGGGAGAUAUCUUGUUCUCCCCGAAAUAGCUUUAGGGCUAGCCUCGGGUAACUACACCGCGGGGGUAGAGCGACUGAAUGAAAAUGGGGCCCGCGAGGGUGCCCAUUUCAACCAAACUCCGAAUACCGCGGUGACUACCCCGGGAGUCAGACGCCGGGCGAUAAUGUUCAGCGUCGAGAGGGAAACAGCCCAGACCGUCGGCUAAGGUCCCAGAGCCAUGCUAAGUGCUUAAGGAAGUCCGAAUGCUAAGACAGCCGGGAUGUUGGCUUAGAAGCAGCCACCAUUUAAAAAGUGCGUAACAGCUUACCGGUCGAGCAUUUGGGCGCCGAGAAGGAACGGGACUAAGCAUGGCACCGAAGCCGCGGAUUGCACCCUUCGGGGUGCAGUGGUAGGGGAGCGCUGGUAUCCGCGUUGAAGCCGUACCGCAAGGAGCGGUGGAGCGAUACCAGGUGAGAAUGCCGGUGUGAGUAGCGAUAAGACAGGUGAAAAUCCUGUCCGCCGAAAGCCUAAGGUUUCCUGGGGAAGGUAAGUCCGCCCAGGGUUAGUCGGAUCCUUAGCCGAGGCCGAGAGGCGUAGGCGAUGGGCAGCAGGUUAAUAUUCCUGCACCACUUCUGUCGGGCUUGAACUUGCGGAGGGACGCCGAUCUUUUCGGAGAGAUGCCGAACGGAAAUGGCAAUCCCGCAGGCAAGGGGUCGCGGUAGGCAAAUCCGCCGCAUCUAUGGCCCCAAGCCGAAGGGCGAGGGUCGCUCUGAGAUCCGAGUCUCUGCGAGAUCGGCCGAGAAAAGCUUCGUAAGGACUGACAGGGGUGUCCGUACUAAAACCGACACAGGUAGGCGUGGCGAGAAGCCUCAGGCGCUCGAGAGAACCCUCGUGAAGGAACUCGGCAAAAUGACCCCGUAACUUUGGAAUAAGGGGUGCCUCCUCGUAUGCAACCCGCAUCCGAGAGGCCACAGAAAAUCGGCCCUGGCGACUGUUUACCAAAAACACAGGUCUCUGCAAACUCGUAAGAGGACGUAUAGAGACUGACGCUUGCUCGGUGCCGGAAGGUUAAGGAAGGCGGUUAGCCUCCUUCGGGAGGCGAAGCUGGCGACCGAAGCCCCGGUUAACGGCGGCCGUAACUAUGACGGUCCUAAGGUAGCGAAGUUCCUUGUCGGGUAAGUUCCGACGUGCAUGAAUAGCGUAACGACUGGGGCGCUGUCUCCACGAGGGACUCGGUGAAAUCGCAGUGGUCGUGAGAAUGCGACCUACCCGCGGCAAGACGGAAAGACCCCGUGGACCUUUACUGCAACCUGGCAUUGGGUCUUGGGCAUGCAUGUGUAGGAUAGGUGGGAGGCACCGAAGCGCGGACGCUAGUCCGCGUGGAGCCAACCUUGAAAUACCACCCUUGUGUGUCUAGGGUUCUAACCUCGUACCGUUAUCCGGUCGGGGAACAGUGCUAGGCGGGCAGUUUGACUGGGGCGGUCUCCUCCCAAAAGGUAACGGAGGAGCACAAAGGUGCCCUCAGCACGGUUGGCAAUCGUGCGCAGAGCGUAAGGGUAGAAGGGCGCUUGACUGCGAGUCCGAUAGGACAAGCAGAUGCGAAAGCAGGUCCUAGUGAUCCGGUGGUCCCGUGUGGAAGGGCCAUCGCUCAACAGACAAAAGGUACCCCGGGGAUAACAGGCUGAUCGCACCCGAGCGUCCAUAGCGGCGGUGCGGUUUGGCACCUCGAUGUCGGCCCAACACAUCCUGGGGCUGAAGAAGGUCCCAAGGGUUCGGCUGUUCGCCGAUUAAAGUGUUACGCGAGCUGGGUUCAGACCGGCGUGAGCCAGGUCGGUCCCUAUCUGCCGUGGGCGUAGGAUGCUUGAGAGGCUGUCUCAUUAGUACGAGAGGAUUUUGAGGCACGUGCCUAGGGUGUACCUGUUGUCGCGCCAGCGGCACCGCAGGGUAGCCAAGCACGGAACGGCUAAACGCUGAAAGCAUCUAAGCGUGAAGCCCCCCUCAAGACAAGGCAUCCAUUCCCGAAAGGGAGAGAGGCCCCUGGAAGACUACCAGGUUGAUAGGCCGGACGUGUAAGCGCAGAAAUGUGCUCAGCCGACCGGUACUAAUGGCCAAUCGCUUGACCAC
rnacentral:rRNA from 1 species